CAGCCGUAAACUAUGCGCGUUAGGUGUAUCGGUGACCACGAGUCACCGGGGUGCCGAAGGGAAACCGUGAAACGUGCCGCCUGGGAAGUACGGUCGCAAGGCUGAAACUUAAAGGAAUUGGCGGGGGAGCACCACAACAGGUGGAGCCUGCGGUUUAAUUGGACUCAACGCCGGGAAGCUCACCGGAUAGGACAGCAGAAUGAUUGCCGGGCUGAAGACCCUGCAUGACUAGCUGAGAGGAGGUGCAUGGCGUAGACGUCU
rnacentral:rRNA from 1 species